UGGUGUAGCUCAGUCGGUAGAGCGACGCACUCGUAAUGCGUAGGUCGCCGGUUCGAGUCCGGCCUCC
rnacentral:tRNA from 1 species